rnacentral:rRNA from 1 species
CCUACGGGUGGCAGCAGUGAGGAAUAUUGGUCAAUGGCCGGAAGGCUGAACCAGCCAUGCCGCGUGAAGGUCAGUGCCCUAUGGGCGUUAAACUUCUUUUGUGCGGGAGCAAUAAUGGUCACGUGUGGCCAGACGAGAGUACCGUACGAAUAAGCAUCGGCUAACUCCGUGCCAGCAGCCGCGGUAAUACGGGGGAUGCAAGCGUUAUCCGGAUUUAUUGGGUUUAAAGGGUGCGUAGGCGGUUCGAUAAGUUAGAGGUGAAAUCCCGGGGCUCAACUCCGGCACUGCCUCUGAUACUGUCGGGCUAGAGUUUAGUUGCGGUAGGCGGAAUGUAUGGUGUAGCGGUGAAAUGCAUAGAGAUCAUACAGAACACCGAUUGCGAAGGCAGCUUACCAAACUACGACUGACGUUGAGGCACGAAAGCGUGGGGAGCAAACAGGAUUAGAUACCCCAGUAGUC